GUUUAUGACCAUAGCACCCUGAGCAUGCCCAGUCUCAGCUGAAGUCAGAAGCUAAGCAGGGUAGGGGAUGGUUAGCACUUGGAUGAAAGACCGUCUGGGAAUACCAGCUGCUGUAAGCU
ensembl:rRNA 5S_rRNA 5S ribosomal RNA